GGGGUUGUGGCUCAGGGGUACAGCGCUUGCCUAGCAUGCAUGAGGCACCAGGUUUGAUCACUGGCACCACA
rnacentral:tRNA from 1 species